UAAGACAAAUAAGCCCUCCCCCCCCCCAAGUUGUUUUGGUCAUGGUGUUUUAUCACAACAAUGAUCACCCUAUCGUGGGUGGGUGUGUCCCUCUAGGUGGCGUACCACUGUAUGCGCUCAUAUGUACUCAUACAUCUGUGUGUGUCCGUGUGUGCACGUGCAUGUGUGUCUGUGUGUGUGUUCGCAUGUGUGCGCAGACACGUAUGUGUAUGUGCGCGCGAGAGUGUAUGAGCGCACGCUUGAAUCUAAGUAUCUUCUCCAUUGCACCAUGCUUACCCAGCCAGAACUCCAUGCGCAUGCGCACUGUCAUGGGUUGAGGUCUGGGAUUGCUUGGGUUGCCUGUGUAGGUGAAUGCCCCCACCCCCUCCCAUGACGCACGCAUGUGAGCAUUACUUUCCCUUUGCUGGGCGCUGAUACGGCCAGCUGUUGCCUUGACAACGCGGCCGGAAACUGCAGGGGCAGGGGGACACACCGAGUCUGUUUAUACACUGCAGAAAAGGGCUGCAAGCAGCAAGGGCUGCAUGUGCAGCCUCGAACCCUUGUGGCAGUUCUAUCUUGCUUCUGACGUGGGACACCGACGCGGUCUGUGGCACCACUGCUGAGGUAUACCCAGGUAACAAGUGUGAGCCUAACACGACACAUUUAGUCGCGACUGCUCCAUAAGGAAGACGAGACUGGUGUCAGUGGUUUUGACAGGGACAAGAGUAGCUAGUCCAAGCAUGUGCGUUGCGAAACUCUGACACCUGUAGGUCCUCCGCCUUUACCGUCUGAGCACCGUUGAGCCCUAGGUAAAAUGACCAAACAAAGGCGUCAGGACAGUUUAGGAGCUAGCGUUGUGCGUAGUCUUCCUUUGUGGGGAUGCAAAGAUCCCUCAUGCUACAGGUAGGAAUAUUAAAAACAGGUCCUCCAGUGUCUGGGAAGUUCAGAGCCAACACGAGGUUUUACAAAUAGCCUAAAAGUAGUUGAGCCUCGGGUAUGUUUUCUGUUUUAACCUGUUCUCCGCAGAGCCGCUGUUUUCAUCGUCGUCCAUCACACCCCGUCUUCAGGACAACCGAAGACGCUGUCUUCAGUAGGAAGGACUUUCAGGCAUCUUACAGGUAAAGUUUUAGCAGGAAGGAAACCGACACUAGGAGGUUAGUAACUGUCACUCACUCUGACAUUCAGCACAGCAGGAGUUCUAGCACAUUACAUGCCUGAUCUCAGUCUCCAGGUCUGUUGUCGCUGUGUGAUCCAAGCCCCUCACCCUGCAUCAUCAGGUUGGUGUUUACAGACUGCUCGGCCUCCGCCUAAGACAAAGCAAAGCAUCUCCAUCAGUUCUCAGACUUCGUGUUUACUGUGGAAGAAGCCCCAAGAUGGCCAACAAAGCCUUGAGUUCUGGAACCAAGGCCCGUAACAAAGAGAGAGGGUCUAGAGAAAUGACUCAGUGGUUGAGAGCCCUGGCUGCUCUCCUAGAGGACUCAGCUUCAAUUCCCAGCACCCACAUGGCAGCUCCCAGCCAUCUGUAACUCCAGUUCCAGAGGAUUCCACAGCCUCUUCGGGCCUCCGAUUUGGUGACAUUCUCUGAUGUGGCUAUAGACUUCUCUCAGGCGGAGUGGGCCUGUCUGGACUCUGUGCAGAGGGACCUGUACUGGGAUGUGAUGCUGGAGAACUACAGUAACCUGCUCUCCCUAGAUGGGAAAUUAUCAAAAGGGGUGAACAUUUUAGCUAUUAGAAGAAGCAUUUAUGGACUGAGCUCUUGCAAAAGGAAUCCAAGUGACAAAAGUAUAUCUCCUCACCCUGAUGGGAUUGGUGAAGGUGAGUGUGAACAACCGCAGGGCUCUGAAGAGGAAAAUGUCAGUGAUGUAACAGACAGGACUAGAAAAGCAACCACUGAGAGAGAAAAGCUGUUAGUUAUUUAGCCUCGUUGUGUUCUUACCCUGCAAGGAAAUGUCACAAAACAUGACAGAAUCCGCUUAUAAG